UUAAUGCAAAAUUUCUUUAUUGGAAUAUGAAAAAAGCUGCACUACGUUCUAUGCUCUCAUUGCAUUGGAACAUUCAUAUUAAAUAAACCCUACCCUUUCAUUUUUUUUCACUACAGAUCUAUAUAUUCGUAGAAUACAAAGUUCCAAUCUUGCAUGACUAAACUCUUCCUCCUUCCUCUUCCAUUACAUCCAUCAAUUUUAGGUUUUUUUUCCAGUUGCUUCUGCCAUUCCACCUCCAUUGUUUUUGGAUAAUUUUUCCUUUACUUCUGUCAUUCUAAAAUCCAUUUUAAUGCCCAUCCAUCAUGUUUGAAUACGAUUCAAAUACGAUUUACGGUAUUUGGUUUUAAAGUCUUGCUGUUUGUUGAUUUACGGAUUUUGUUUAGGAUUAAAGUUACAGCAAGCAUACAACACUGUAAUAAAACAUAAAACGGGACUGUGCUCACAAGGAUGAUAUGAGAACUUAUGACAUGGAAUGUAUAACUAUGAGCAAAAAAGACCUUCAAAGUUUUGUUUCAAACAAAGUUACAGAAUGCUAUCAAGUUAAAAAAGUUUCAUCAAGAGUUCAAGAAAUUUGUGGUAGAGUUUGAUUUGAAAGUUAGAAUGCAGCUACUGAAAGAGCACUUAGCCAGUACCAUAAGUCACAUUCACAGUGCCUACGAAAACUCAUGUUUUCAUGUUUUCAUUUUCAUUCUAUGCUAUGUAAAGAUGUCUCUAAUCACAAGGAUAGUAGUUUUUACUAUUAGACCAAUUUAUACCAGUUUUGUAGCAGGAAUAAAGAACUCCAACAUUUAUAUGAUUUUUAUUGACUGAGAAAUGAGAAAUAGUGCAUUAUUUUUUAAACA